GAUAGACCUGGAAGGAUCAAAAUGAUGGAGAAGACAAACAUGGAUGGUGCCUGGGACCCUGAGUAACUCCAAGGAGCAGAGCCACCUCCUGUCCCAUUCCUAUUAAUAAUGUUAAGCAGUUGAGAUGCCAAGGGUACCUCUGCCUGCCCUUCUGUCUGGUGCUUUUCCAGCAGAGGAAACCUUGGUUUUACUCUCUUUUCAGAGUUAUGUGCCUCAUCUUCUGCCAGAGAUCCCUGGCUGGGUAGAAAAGUACUACUCAGGUACUGAACUCCCUGUUGUGCUGAUAUAGUGACACCCGGAGGCUUGAAUUGUGCUGCUAUCAGCUUCCUCUACCUGGACAACACUAUUAAGCUUCUUCUCUUCUCCUAGCCAAGAAGUCUCCUUCACUUGAUGUCUUUAACUCUAACAUCUACAUCCCUGGUGAUGCUGACUUCAUCUAAUAAUUGUACACCAGCCCCUCCCCUUUCAUCCCCCAGAGGACAGAACUCCUUAGAGGCUAAGGCCUGGUCAAGCCUACCCAGACCUUCAGCUAGAACUGCAGGUUGCCUUGUAACCCCUCCCUGCUGCUCCAUCUGGACCACCCUUCACUCACAGUAGAUUUUCCUCUGAUGUUUUAGAGAGUCUCUCUAUUGUAAUACAGCUUUGAGGAAAAGUUCCAGGCCUCAGAUAAGAUCACAUCCCCAAAGGAAAACAAAUUCAAAUUACCCCUAAUCCAACGCAGGAAUGCAGCUGAACCUCACUUAGAUGUCUGCUCCUAAGGGCGCUCCUCCCAGAACAUAGAACAUACCACAAGGGGGCAGUGUUGCCUAGCCUCACAUUCCCUGCAACAGUCAUGGGAAAGGUAGCCCCGAGCCUUUCACUGAGUUCAAGUUUAGAUAAAUUGUGAAGCCAAAAUAAAAUGUUAAAAUAACCGCAA